UAGGACAUUGUGUAAUGGUAGCACGGAGAUUUUUGAAGUCUUAGGUUUAGGUUCAAGUCCUAAAGUUCUAG
rnacentral:tRNA from 1 species